UCUGCCACUCACGUUAGGGUGAGAUGAGUGGUCCCUAACUAAAGUCAACUUUCGGUAUUCAAAAACGACACUAAUGAGUCACUCACUUGAGUGACAACUGGUUCAAAGAAAAACGAGAGGCUAUACUGCCCGAACCGUACCGACGUUGCCAUUAUUUUGCUUCUGUCAUCUGCUUAUGUUUACAAUAAACUGAUUUUAGACGUUUUCGGUUUUGUAUACGGAAUGUGUAUUUUCAAGUAUUUACCAAUAAUCUUACAAAGAAAAUUACAAAAUAUAGAUUUUCACAAAUUUGAUGAGGCUACUGUGACUAAAAUACACCAUCAUUUAUCUUUAAUAAAUAAUGUAGCUAAUUGUAAAAAACAUCCUAAAUAAAUUAGAUUUACAUCAACAAAAAAGGAACGCAUUGAGAGGAAAACAAGCCUUAAAAGGGCAUCCGCUAAAGAAAUCUCAGCAAUAACAAAAAUGUGGACCUUGCGUUAGCAGUUCAUCACGAUCAUCAAUAUUGUUAAGUAGAACUUAGUACAUGUAUUAAGUACGUGUCAUAUAUUUUGUGAUAAUACAUACUCAUUUUAUAUUA